AUGAACGCUGGCGGCGUGCCUAAUACAUGCAAGUAGAACGCUGAAGGAAGGAGCUUGCUCUUUCCGGAUGAGUUGCGAACGGGUGAGUAACGCGUAGGUAACCUGCCUGGUAGCGGGGGAUAACUAUUGGAAACGAUAGCUAAUACCGCAUAACAGUAGAUGUUGCAUGAUAUCUACUUAAAAGGUGCAAUUGCACCACUACCAGAUGGACCUGCGUUGUAUUAGCUAGUUGGUGAGGUAACGGCUCACCAAGGCGACGAUACAUAGCCGACCUGAGAGGGUGAUCGGCCACACUGGGACUGAGACACGGCCCAGACUCCUACGGGAGGCAGCAGUAGGGAAGCUUCGGCAAUGGACGGAAGUCUGACCGAGCAACGCCGCGUGAGUGAAGAAGGUUGUCGGAUCGUAAAGCUCUGUUGUAAGAGAAGAACGAGUGUGAGAGUGGAAAGUUCACACUGUGACGGUAGCUUACCAGAAAGGGACGGCUAACUACGUG
rnacentral:rRNA from 1 species